rnacentral:misc_RNA from 1 species
GAAAUGCGAUAAGUAAUGUGAAUUGCAGAAUUCAGUGAAUCAUCGAAUCUUUGAACGCACCUUGCGCUCCUUGGUAUUCCUUGGAGCAUGCCUGUUUGAGUAUCAUGAAAUCUUCAAAGUAAAUCUUUUGUUAACUCAAUUGGUUUCUACUUUGGUAUUGGAGGUCUUUGCAGCUUCACACCUGCUCCUCUUUGUUCAUUAGCUGGAUCUCAGUGUUAUGCUUGGUUCCACUCGACGUGAUAAGUUAUCUAUCGCUGAGGACACUGUAAAAGGUGGCCAAGGUAAAUGCAGAUGAACCGCUUCUAAUAGUCCAUUGACUUGGACAAUACUUUUAUGAUCUGAUCUCAAAUCAGGUAGGACUACCCGCUGAACUUGAGC